rnacentral:rRNA from 1 species
AUUGAACGCUGGCGGCGGGCCUAACACAUGCAAGUCGAGCGGAUGAAGGGAGCUUGCUCCUGGAUUCAGCGGCGGACGGGUGAGUAAUGCCUAGGAAUCUGCCUGGUAGUGGGGGAUAACGUCCGGAAACGGGCGCUAAUACCGCAUACGUCCUGAGGGAGAAAGUGGGGGAUCUUCGGACCUCACGCUAUCAGAUGAGCCUAGGUCGGAUUAGCUAGUUGGUGGGGUAAAGGCCUACCAAGGCGACGAUCCGUAACUGGUCUGAGAGGAUGAUCAGUCACACUGGAACUGAGACACGGUCCAGACUCCUACGGGAGGCAGCAGUGGGGAAUAUUGGACAAUGGGCGAAAGCCUGAUCCAGCCAUGCCGUGUGUGUGAAGAAGGUCUUCGGAUUGUAAAGCACUUUAAGUUGGGAGGAAGGGCAGUAAGUUAAUACCUUGCUGUUUUGACGUUACCAACAGAAUAAGCACCGGCUAACUUCGUG